UGUUAUGUGGCGAAAUUGGUUAAUGCACCUUAUCUAGUGAAUUUGGAAAACGUGGGUUCAAAUCUCACCAGAACCA
rnacentral:tRNA from 1 species